UACGAAGGGGGCUAGCGUUGUUCGGAAUUACUGGGCGUAAAGCGAGUGUAGGCGGUUGUCAUAGUCAGGUGUGAAAGCCUUGAGCUCAACUCAAGAAAUGCACUUGAUACUGGAUGACUAGAGGACCGGAGAGGAUAGUGGAAUUCCCAGUGUAGUGGUGAAAUACGUAGAGAUUGGGAAGAACACCAGUGGCGAAGGCGGCUAUCUGGACGGUUACUGACGCUAAGACUCGAAAGCGUGGGGAGCAAACAGG
rnacentral:rRNA from 1 species